AUUGAACGCUGGCGGCAGGCUUAACACAUGCAAGUCGAGCGAGCGGCGGACGGGUGAGUAAUGUCUGGGACACUGCCUGAUGGAGGGGGAUAACUACUGGAAACUGUAGCUAAUACCGCAUACCAUCAGAUGUGCCCAUAUGGGAUUAGCUAGUAGGUGGGGUAAUGGCUCACCUAGGCGACGAUCCCUAGCUGGUCUGAGAGGAUGACCAGACACACUGGAACUGAGACACGGUCCAGACUCCUACGUGAGGCAGGAGUGGGGAAUAUUGCACAAUGGGCGCAAGCCUGAUGCAGCCAUGCCGCGUGUGUGAAGAAGGCCUUCGGGUUGUAAAGCACUUUCAGCGAGGAGGCGUUACUCGCAGAAGAAGCACCGGCUAACUCCGUGCCAGCAGCCGCGGUAAUUC
rnacentral:rRNA from 1 species